AUUAUUUUGGCAGAUUAGUGUAAUAGAUUUAGAAUCUAUAAAUGUAUUUUAUACAAAUAAUA
rnacentral:tRNA from 1 species